rnacentral:rRNA from 1 species
UGGGGAAUAUUGGACAAUGGGCGCAAGCCUGAUCCAGCCAUGCCGCGUGAGUGAUGAAGGCCCUAGGGUUGUAAAGCUCUUUCACCGGUGAAGAUAAUGACGGUAACCGGAGAAGAAGCCCCGGCUAACUUCGUGCCAGCAGCCGCGGUAAUACGAAGGGGGCUAGCGUUGUUCGGAUUUACUGGGCGUAAAGCGCACGUAGGCGGACUAUUAAGUCAGGGGUGAAAUCCCGGGGCUCAACCCCGGAACUGCCUUUGAUACUGGUAGUCUUGAGUUCGAGAGAGGUGAGUGGAAUUCCGAGUGUAGAGGUGAAAUUCGUAGAUAUUCGGAGGAACACCAGUGGCGAAGGCGGCUCACUGGCUCGAUACUGACGCUGAGGUGCGAAAGCGUGGGGAUCAAUCAGG